rnacentral:lncRNA from 1 species
UCUUAAAUGAUUUGUGCAAUUGCAAGGCACGGCAGUGUAUUUUCAGUGUCUAAAAUGUGCUUGUAAAGUUUAGCACACGUUAGGUCUCCUUGGCCCGACCUUACUGGCCAAAGACAUUACAGACAAAAUCUCUGUGUCAAAUUAAAGACUACAAAUGUAAGAAUGCUUUGUCAGAUGCCCACAUGUUAGUAAAUGCUUGCUCAGUCUCUGCUUACUCUGUUUGACUACAUUUCGUUUUUGUACAGACACCAUCAAUCACGGACCCUGUUUAUUUAACCAGGGUGAGAUAGCUUCUUAGCCUCAGUUACUAAGUCUCAGCAGCUGGGCCUUGGAGACCCAGGUGAAAUCUCUUCUGUUGGUUAAAACAAGGAGACAAUUAAGACACUUGCUUCUCUUCUAAAUUAGAUAAUAAAUUUCCAUCAGGUUAGUGUUUCAGGGUUUCACUCAAGUUUUUUAGACUCUAAGCAUCUUCAGUUUUUCAGCGGAUGGACAGACAGGACCAGAACCUGGAGGAGACCACUGGGGUGGGUUAGGUGGUGACUGAGGACCCAGAGAGGAGGAGCUGAGGGGUGGUCCACCAUCCCGCGGCUCCUGCUGUGUGUGUGGGCGUGUAGGUACAAGUAGAUGCCAACCAGCUACACAGUCUUGGAAAUGAAAAGAGCCACUUCUGACACACACAGGAAGUGACUUGGGAGCUUGGAAAUGUCCUUAAUGAAAACCCCAAGAAGCUUGUUGGGGGUGCAGGCAUACGCUUGGGUACCACUGGGCAACACAAACACAGAGCAAGGAGGUGGGAGUCACCCCACAGGGCGUCAGGCAAGGCGACCAUUGGACCCCGUGACCUCACCCUGUACUCACAGACUCCAACACUCAACACCAAAAGCAGCUUUAAAUAGUAUAGAUUUUAUGGAAGUCUUCACGAGGACGGGAGUACAGAGCUUGAAGCAUGAGAUGGAUUAACUCAAGUAUGAAGGACAAAGAAGAAAGAGUGACUGAUAGAAAUACAGAAGAGACACCAUUUUUUUGAGCCUUUUACAUGAGAAAAAAAUAUUCUGGGAAGAUUCCAUUUCCCCUUCCAGAAUUUUGUUUUCAGAACAGAAAUCCAGAAGUUAUCUUUUACUCAUCCUACUUCCUCACUCACAAUUCUGUUUCAUUUCUGUCCCGCAGGCUUCUUUCACGAGGCUGUAAUUACUGGCAGGGACACCUUACCUACCUCCUCCUCUCUCUCCAAAUACUGUCCUUCGAGGCCUAAUUGAAGGCCUCUCUCCUCCAGGAAGUCUUUUCUGAAUGUUGGAGGCUCUGAUAACCUUCCGGGUUUUUCCCUCCCUAACUCUGCACCUACAGCAGUUCGGCAUUACACACCAUCCUGCGUUCUUCAUUUGUUUAUUCAACCACGUUUUAGGGAUUUUGAAGGUGAAUUACUGUUGCUGUUUCCAUCAGCAAUAAACAGACAUAUAGACACAUAGUUGGACACAUUUGGACACGUCAAAUAAGUCUUAAAGGCCGUGGAAUGAGUCUAGUUAUAUAUGUUUUUCCAUUCUAGAUGGCAUGAAAUUUAAUGUCUAUUCAAAAGUCGAAACUAUAAAACUCCACUAAGUAUAAGCUUUCCAGAUAACUAGUUUAUUUUCUCCCUGGAACUUAAAAUAGGAGGAGGAAAGGGAAGUCUAAUUCUGAGAAAGUAGGAUCUCUUUCGGAUGUUUUGUCCAUUAAAUAGUGAAUAUUUUAUUACACUAAAAAAUUCUAUGCAUGUAGACUUACAGUAAGUACUCCAUAUACAUUUUAGGCUGAUAAAUUGGAAUAACUGGUAUUCUAAGGGGCAUAAUUUCCUAACAUAAGGACACAGUUACCUGUGCUACAAUGAAGAGAUUAAAAAUUGGUUAUUGAAUGCUUUAUCUUAAAGGAGUGCUGUGUAGUAAAGAAGAUUCAUAUUUGCUAAGCUCUUUAAAAACUGUAAUGCAUGGUGCAAAUGUUACAUAUAUAGACGUACAUUCUCUUUGCAAAGAGCUUUCACAAAGGACAAUGUACUAUGAAGAUGGCCACUUGGAAGUAAAUAGGACUUUGAGGCGUUUCUGAUGCCACUGUAGAGAAUGUCAACAAUGGCAGUAUUAAAUUUGCUGUUUUUUAUUAUUUAUUUC